GAUGAACGCUGGCGGCGUGCCUAAUACAUGCAAGUCGAGCGAACGGACGAGAAGCUUGCUUUUCUGAUGUUAGCGGCGGACGGGUGAGUAACACGUGGAUAACCUACCUAUAAGACUGGGAUAACUUCGGGAAACCGGAGCUAAUACCGGAUAAUAUUUUGAACCGCAUGGUUCAAAAGUGAAAGACGGUCUUGCUGUCACUUAUAGAUGGAUCCGCGCUGCAUUAGCUAGUUGGUAAGGUAACGGCUUACCAAGGCAACGAUGCAUAGCCGACCUGAGAGGGUGAUCGGCCACACUGGAACUGAGACACGGUCCAGACUCCUACGGAAGGCAGCAGUAGGGAAUCUUCCGCAAUGGGCGAAAGCCUGACGGAGCAACGCCGCGUGAGUGAUGAAGGUCUGCGGAUCGUAAAACUCUGUUAUUAGGGAAGAACAUAUGUGUAAGUAACUGUGCACAUCUUGACGGUACCUAAUCAGAAAGCCACGGCUAACUACGUG
rnacentral:rRNA from 1 species